rnacentral:lncRNA from 1 species
GAUGGCCCAAAUCUCCACGACCCGCUUUCUCAGUUCCCGGCUUCUUCACCUUCCGUCGUUUCGUGCUGCCUUUGGCCUUCGGAGAAGCGUUGUCGGCGUAGUCCACUUUGCUCUGCUCCACCAUAUUACUCAUCUGCCCCAAGCUUUUCUGAGUAACACGAACCCAUUUAGUAUUCGAAUUUAUGCGGUGCUCCGGAAUAAAAAUGACUGAAGCUGGUUGAUUUUGUGGCAGAUCAGGUGUGCUCCGAGAAAAAAAAAAUGACUAGAGCUGGUUGUGACCCACGGAUGGCACCAGAAAGUGGCGAGAACAUGAACUGGGGCUAGUUGAUGUUGUGGCAUAUCAGGAGCCGACACGGGUUGAUGCUGCUGCUGCUUGGACCUGGCGUCGCUGCUCUGGGAAAUGACCUUCAUGCCGUCUCCGAGAGUGAAAGAGGGGUCAGACGAGAGGCGGCUGAGGAAGAUGGAGGCAUGUAACUGUAAGGCUAGAGAUAGGGAGAGGAUUGCGAGAUCGGCCUACUCUGGUUCUCUGCCGCUCCAUCUCUCCGAUGUGUCUCAUAGUCCCGUUCCUGAAACGAAGUCGCGUGUGGGACGAAACGAGGUCACGUGUGGGACGAAGCGAGGUCGGGGGCAUCAGACAUGUUGACGCUGACGGGAGAACGACUCUGUUGAUCUUGUGAUGCAAUGGACAGCUCUAUCUCGGAGAGAGGGGCCGGGGACCAGAGUGCGGUGUCUUGGCGUACGGCGGCAGCAACGCUGGCAGCGAAGUUUUAGGUGGUGGGGGUUGAAGACUUUGAGAGAGCCGUGGAAUCUCUUGGGAAUGACGGGAUGAGGGAGGCGGGUGGCGUUGUGUCUGAGAAUUGUUCGUCUUCCAUCUCCUGCCCCCAAUAUAUGAUUGAGCUUCUGGUAUCUUUCUUUACAGUCUGGAAAUUGGUUGGCAGCAGCUAAAACAACAAAGGCAGGCACAGAAGCAGAAGCAGUUGUAGAUCUAGAAGCCCUUCAUCCAACCCGUAUAGCUCGAUCAACAAUGCUUCUUGUAUUUUUCUGUCGUACUAGAUAGAAAGUAAGAUUUCUAUAAUUUUGCAUUGGGAAAGCUUUGGGUUGUUUGGGUUUUUGCAGAUUUUGAUUUUGUAGAUUUUGCAGAUUCACAGUGGAGGUGAAAAAAUGAAAGAGAACCGACAUAACUUUUCGUAUCGAUUCCCACAGACGGCGCCAAAUGUUGAUGCACAAAACCGGAUGGUCUUGGAACAACGUAAAUCCGA